rnacentral:rRNA from 1 species
GGACACACCCAAACUCAUCUGAUCUUGGAAGCUAAGC